rnacentral:rRNA from 1 species
GACGAACGCUGGCGGCGUGCCUAAUACAUGCAAGUCGAGCGAACGGACGAGAAGCUUGCUUCUCUGAUGUUAGCGGCGGACGGGUGAGUAACACGUGGAUAACCUACCUAUAAGACUGGGAUAACUUCGGGAAACCGGAGCUAAUACCGGAUAAUAUUUUGAACCGCAUGGUUCAAAAGUGAAAGACGGUCUUGCUGUCACUUAUAGAUGGAUCCGCGCUGCAUUAGCUAGUUGGUAAGGUAACGGCUUACCAAGGCAACGAUGCAUAGCCGACCUGAGAGGGUGAUCGGCCACACUGGAACUGAGACACGGUCCAGACUCCUACAGGGGGCAGCAGUAGGGAAUCUUCCGCAAUGGGCGAAAGCCUGACGGAGCAACGCCGCGUGAGUGAUGAAGGUCUUCGGAUCGUAAAACUCUGUUAUUAGGGAAGAACAUAUGUGUAAGUAACUGUGCACAUCUUGACGGUACCUAAUCAGAAAGCCACGGCUAACUACGUGCCAGCAGCCGCGGUAAUACGUAGGUGGCAAGCGUUAUCCGGAAUUAUUGGGCGUAAAGCGCGCGUAGGCGGUUUUUUAAGUCUGAUGUGAAAGCCCACGGCUCAACCGUGGAGGGUCAUUGGAAACUGGAAAACUUGAGUGCAGAAGAGGAAAGUGGAAUUCCAUGUGUAGCGGUGAAAUGCGCAGAGAUAUGGAGGAACACCAGUGGCGAAGGCGACUUUCUGGUCUGUAACUGACGCUGAUGUGCGAAAGCGUGGGGAUCAAACAGGAUUAGAUACCCUGGUAGUCCACGCCGUAAACGAUGAGUGCUAAGUGUUAGGGGGUUUCCGCCCCUUAGUGCUGCAGCUAACGCAUUAAGCACUCCGCCUGGGGAGUACGACCGCAAGGUUGAAACUCAAAGGAAUUGACGGGGACCCGCACAAGCGGUGGAGCAUGUGGUUUAAUUCGAAGCAACGCGAAGAACCUUACCAAAUCUUGACAUCCUUUGACAACUCUAGAGAUAGAGCCUUCCCCUUCGGGGGACAAAGUGACAGGUGGUGCAUGGUUGUCGUCGGCUCGUGUCGUGAGAUGUUGGGUUAAGUCCCGCAACGAGCGCAACCCUUAAGCUUAGUUGCCAUCAUUAAGUUGGGCACUCUAAGUUGACUGCCGGUGACAAACCGGAGGAAGGUGGGGAUGACGUCAAAUCAUCAUGCCCCUUAUGAUUUGGGCUACACACGUGCUACAAUGGACAAUACAAGGGGCAGCGAAACCGCGAGGUCAAGCAAAUCCCAUAAAGUUGUUCUCAGUUCGGAUUGUAGUCUGCAACUCGACUACAUGAAGCUGGAAUCGCUAGUAAUCGUAGAUCAGCAUGCUACGGUGAAUACGUUCCCGGGUCU